rnacentral:tRNA from 1 species
GCCUCCUUAGCUCAGUGGUUAGAGCACUGGUCUAGUAAACCAGGGGUCCAGAGCUCGAAUCUCUGAGGAGGCU